UAGGGAUGUCUAUGAUCCAAAAACGGUGA
rnacentral:piRNA from 1 species